rnacentral:rRNA from 1 species
AACGAACGCUGGCGGCAGGCUUAACACAUGCAAGUCGAACGCCCCGCAAGGGGAGUGGCAGACGGGUGAGUAACACGUGGGAACGUGCCCUAAGGUUUGGAAUAUUCCCGGGAAACUGGGAGCAAAACCAAAUGUGUCAGUAAGGAGAAAGAUUUAUCGCCUUAGGAUCGGCCCGAGUCAGAUUAGGUAGUUGGUGGGCUAAAAGCCUACCAAGCCGACGACCUGUAGCUGGUAUGAGAGGACGAGCAGCCACACUGGGACUGGGACACGGCCCAGACUCCUACGGGAGGCAGCAGUGGGGAAUCUUGGACAAUGGGCGCAAGCCUGAUCCAGCCAUGCCGCGUGGAUGAUGAAGGCCCUAGGGUUGUAAAUUCCUUUCGUUGGGGUCUAUAAUGACGGUACCCAAAGAAGAAGCUCCGGCUAACUUCGUGCCAGCAGCCGCCGUAAGAC